AGUGAACGCUGGCGGUAGGCCUAACACAUGCAAGUCGAACGGCAGCACAGUAAGAGCUUGCUCUUACGGGUGGCGAGUGGCGGACGGGUGAGGAAUACAUCGGAAUCUACUUUUUCGUGGGGGAUAACGUAGGGAAACUUACGCUAAUACCGCAUACGACCUACGGGUGAAAGCAGGGGAUCUUCGGACCUUGCGCGAUUGAAUGAGCCGAUGUCGGAUUAGCUAGUUGGGGGGGUAAAGGCCCACCAAGGCGAGGAUCCGUAGCUGGUCUGAGAGGAUGAUCAGCCACACUGGAACUGAGACACGGUCCAGACUCCUACGGUAGGCAGCAGUGGGGAAUAUUGGACAAUGGGCGCAAGCCUGAUCCAGCCAUACCGCGUGGGUGAAGAAGGCCUUCGGGUUGUAAAGCCCUUUUGUUGGGAAAGAAAAGCAGCAGGUUAAUACCCCGCUGUUCUGACGGUACCCAAAGAAUAAGCACCGGCUAACUUCGUG
rnacentral:rRNA from 1 species